GGCUGCCUGAGCCACCAGUGGCAACCCUCUGGGGUCCCCUUGCACGCUGUGGAAGCUUUAUUGUUUCACUCUUUGCAAUAAAUCUUGCUGCUGCUCACUCUUUGGGUCCACACUGCCUUUAUGAGCUGUAACACUCACGAUGAAGUUCUGCAGCUUCACUCCUGAAGCCAGCGACACCACAAACCCACCAGGAGGAAGGAACAACUCCAGAUGCACCUCCUUAAGAGCUGUGACACUCACCGCGAAGGUCCGCAGCUUCACUCCUGAGCCGGCGAGACCACGAACCCCACCAGAAGGAAGAAACUCUGAACACCUCCGAACAUCAGAAGGAACAAACUCUGGACACGCUGCCUUUAGGAACUGUAACACUCACCGCGAGGGUCCCCGGCUUCAUUCUUGAAGUCAGUGAGACCAAAAUCCCACCAAUUCUGGACACACUAGGAAGACUGAGACCCAAUUGGACCAUCAAAGAACGACCCAAUCACCAGCACAAAGCUAAUAAACUUGUAAGCUUUCAAUACAAAUAACGUUGGAACAUAGCUAGGAAGACUUCAGGAGACAGAUUCUCUUUGCAGAGUCUCUGGGAGAUCUCACUGUGUCGCCCAGGUUGUAAUACAGUGGGACCAUUUCGGCUCACUGCACCCUCCGCCUCCCAGAUUCAAGUGAUUCUUGUGCCUCAGCCUCCCAGGUAGCUUGGAUUACAGGUGUGCGCCACCAGCAUGCCCAGCUGAUUUUUGUCAUUUAGUAGAGACAAGGUUUCACCAUUUUAGCCAGGCUAGUCUAGAACUCCUAACCUCAGGUGAUCUGCCCGCUUUAGCCUCCCAAAAUGCUGGAAUGACAGGCGUAAGCCAUCACAGGAGGUCUGAUUUUACAUUUUAAAUAAUGGCUUUUGAGGAAUGAAAAUAUUUCUUCUACAGUGCUCAAAUUUUUUGACUUUUUCAUAAAUGCUUCAUGAUUGAUUUUCUGUAUUUAAGAAAGUUGUUUCUAACACAGGUGCAUACAGAUAAUCUAUUAUUUUAUCUAUAAAUGUAAACAUUUUUGACCAGGCCAUUUGAGAUACAUAUUUUGGAAUUUUCAACUGCUUGUUUGUUUUCCAUAUAAAUAACCAAAUGAUCUGGCACAUUUUUUUAAGAUUUUAUUUUUUCCCAAUUAUCUGAAAUCUAAAAUAAGUCAUAUAUGAAAAUUAACAAAUAAAAUAAAUAUGAGUCUUUUCUGGGUUCUUUGUUAUAUUCAUUGUAUCUAUUACUUUAUUCAUAUGCCAAGUAACAGUGUCUUGCUUACUAUAUUUUUGUAAUAGUUCCUGUUAUCUGGAGGAGCAAGUCUUGAUAUUAUUUCUUGUUUUUAUUUUUGUUUGUAUAUUUUGGCAUCUCCUUAUUGAGUUAAAUAAGAUAUUUUCAUUAUAAUUUCAUUAAAAUUAUGCAUUAAUUUGAUUAUAUUUUACAACUUUAUGCUACUAGUUUUUUAAUUAAUAAACAUAGAAUAUAUGUGUAUUUACUUUUUCCUCCCUAAUAAAGAUUUAAAACUUUUAAUAUUUUCUCCUGCUUUAUAAUACAUAGUGCCUGGCAGAUCACAGGUGUUCAGUAUGUAUGUAAUAUUGAUGACAGAAUUUGAAUAGGCAGGUGUUAUUGGAUAUCUAUUAUUAGUUAAUUAUUUGUAUCUAAAUAAUAGAAAAGUUCUCUUUAGAUCUACCUGGUUCAAGCUUUUUGGAACCCAGUAAACAGACAGUGGCCCAGAGAAACCCUGAUAAUAUGGGCCCAGGAUUUCCUUUCUUUAGCCUUCUCCCACUAUACAUCAGUGUGUUUAUAAUUUGAAUACUCUGUAUUGCAUAAUUUUAAGUAAAUUAAUAUUUUCUAAGUUACCUGAUCAUACUUUUUGUUGUAAUGAUUGUAAAUGUAAAAUUUACUAAAAUGUCCCUCUAUCAACUUUGUGCCAUGAGAAUAAGAGUUAACACACAUUUGUAUUCCUGAUAUUUAAGUGUGGACAUAAUAAUUAUUUAAAUUAUUUUCAGUGAUAUAUUAAAAGUUUAUUUCAAAGAAAAGAUCAAUGGAAUUUAUUUAUUAAAUAUAAUUAUUCAAAUCAAAUCAAAGCAAAGAUUAGUGUGUGCCAGUUAUCAAUUUAUUGAUUCUAAGCUCCAAUCCCACUCACUCUUCAUUGACUGCUUUGUGAAAUGGAGACUCUGUAAGCAUUUUCUUUUGUAACUGAUGCUAAAUAUUGGCAGUUGAGAACACUCUAGGGACAGAGAAGAAAGAAAGGCUCUUUUUUUUCCUGGUUCCAGUGUUUAAUUAUUUUCUUCUUUCUUGUUCUGUGUAUCUAUGAGCAGUGGCCUUUACCUCCAGCAGUUUCAGUGACAUCUCCUUGGAUGAACUCUCAAUAAGCCUCAGAGUUAUCCCAGCAAUUGACUUACCAGCCUUAGACUACCAGAACCUCGCCAGGAUGUCUUUACCUUGCCAGAUCCAGCUAAGGUUCCCUACUCACCAGCCUAAACCCACAGGUUCUGCUAUGAGAGGCUUUGAGUUUAUCAGUCCUGGCCUGUAGAUUCUUGUGUGCCAAUCUUGACCAGCAGACUUUGAACCAGUUAUGGUUGGAAAACUCAGUGAAUUUCUCCUCCAUCCUAUGACCUUCUCUUUCCAGGUCUGAAUUCCAACCUUGAGGGAGAUACUUCUUCAAGUUCAUAUAUUUUUGAAUAUUCUCCCUCAGAUCCAGAGUAUUACCCUGUGCGUUCUUUACCCUUUCAAAAUCAAUCACCUAUUAUAUAAUAAUUAAAAAGUAUUUUGUUCAAAUUACUGUAUGAGUUCAGUCUCCUAACUGAAUCCUGGCUGAUACGUACUAUUUUCUGUAAUUCUUCAUAUUCACUGAAACCAUUAAAAAAUAUUAUUCCUCCUGUAGUUUCCUCUCAAAUUUUACUUAUUUAUCAUAUUCUUAUAUUAUAACCUAGCAUUUUGUAUUCUUACAUUAUUUAACAUUAUUCUUUUAUUUAUUUACAUUUGUAUACAUUUGUAUAAUUAUGAUACAGCUUUCAAAAUGUAUCCUAUGUAGGCUGAUUAUAAGGGAGAUUUGACUGCCAUGAAAGUAAAGUUCCUGUUUCUUUAUAAAUUCACUUAGAUAAUUUGUUUACUGAACAAUUAUAUUUCCACUUUAACUUGCAUAAGUCUUGUAAUAUAUAUUAUAUUUGCAUAUGAUUUUCCCAAAGGGAAAGCGAAAACAUAGAACAUGUCAACUUCAUGAAGGAUUGUGGACUUUAUUGAUGGAAACAUUUGUUUUUUCUGUGUGGGAGGAGUAAAUUACGCAAAUUAAGAAGUGAAAUCUAUAUCCCAUAUUUAAACAUGAAGUUGUAUUAUUUCCACAAUUUCUAUAUAAAAAGGCAUUAUGUUUUCCUAAAAGUUUCUAAUAUUUAUAAUAUUUGUGAAUUCAUCCAUGCCACUCCAAAUCACUAUUCUAAAUUUUGUAAAAGCUUUUAGAGACUUUGGAUUUUCUUUUUCCAACUCAGAGUCACUGAGAGAUGCUGAACAUCUUCUGAUAAUCCUCAGCUUGUUUAAUAAGAAUGGGUUUUUGGAAAUAUUCAACUGAGUUUUGUCUUUAAAUAAUAAUCCCAAUACUUUCAAGCUACUCAUAUUUCAGAACUAUACUAUAUGACUGGAAAUGCUAAAUAUUAAUAGAUGAUCCCAAAGAAAUGUACAAAGUGUUAAUCAUGAUUUUUCAUUUGAAGGUAUUUCUUUAUUACUAGUUGCCAACUUAUGUACAUAUUGAGACUAGACUAUAAUUGUACAAAUAUGUUAUAAUCAGUGAAUGCUUAUUUCUUCUAAUUAUAAACCUACAUUAAAAACAAAAUUUAUCUUUCAUUAUUAAUAUUAAUGUUAAUAUUAUUUUUGUUUGGAGAGGUGUUAUAAGACUCUUGUGAAAGAUAAAUAAACAAAUUUCUCCAAGAAACUGGGAAAUGGUACAGUGAUGUUGGCAAGAUGUGAUACAUUAUCACCUUCAGAUCUGUUUCUGUAAGAUAACUAAAAAGCUAUCUAUUAAGAAAUGUUAAGUUUUUAUGUAUAAAAUACAAGUAAUAUAAUCUAAGGGCCCUUGCAAUAAAAGACAAUGAAUCCUUUUUCUACGUGUUGAAUAUUUUUCAUGCCUCAUUUUACACAUUCUUAUCCCCACCUUUUGUGAUCAUCAGCACACCGACAGAUAAUACUUGAGAGUUAUCAUUAAAACUCCUUGCUCAGCUAUAUCUCAAAUCUUUUGCUUUAUGCCUUGGACAGCCUUUCUCUCUACCAUGUGGAUGCCUGCAGAAGCCUGCACAGUCAUUCUGCCACAUGCACUGUGGAUACACAGCUGAUUUACAGCUGGGCUGAAAAAGCCUCAUCUCUGUUUCUGGGGAUUCCAGGAUAUCCUGUUUUUGACUCUUAGCUAAGGUAAGUGCAAGACUUAUGAUGUGCAGUUUAAAGUUGAAACUCUCCUGAUGAUCUCCAAAUCAGUUUCUUCACUGGUAGUUUACUAUGAACCUAAUCAGUUAGGUCAGCUUUCUUGAUUUAGUGGCCGGUGGUGUACUGCAAACCCUCACUAGAUCUUCUGCUUUGAGCUCUUUGGCAACCAAGAUUCUUCACUCAGAAGUUGGUAGUUCAAGCUGCAGAAAAAGCACUGUCUAUGUGUGUGUGAGAAUAAGGCCUCUCGGAGCUGGUGCAUGGAAUGUCUACAGGAUCUGAUACUUUCUGCACUCUUUUUCUCUUACUGGACCAUAUUGUUUGUCUUCAAAUAUGACCUUUAACGCAAGUAUGCUCGGUGGUGUCUGCUUAAUCCUUUCAAUUAUUAAAACUUGGGAACUCUUUGCAUGUAUAAACUUGGAAGUGGAAAGGAUAUAAUAAUUCUGGGACAAAAUUUGAUCAAUGAGCAGCAAAAGCCAAUUGAUACGUAUAGGCUUCAUUUGUGUCUCAGAUGGACACUUCUGAGAUGCAAGGUAAAAAGUCGCUUGGACUGUCCCAGCAACAAUGAUGUCCAUUUUAGCGCAGAAAUAUCCAACUCGUUCUUCACCCUUAAAUGGGGUUUUUCUCUUUCCCUGUUUUAUUUUUCCCAGUCUUUCUAGUUCUGAUCAUUGGCAUCAGUUCUUCAAAUGAAUUAGCUGAGUGCAGUUCCUAGAUUCAGAUUCUGCUUUGGGAGCAAACCCAAGCUAGGACAGGUUAAUAAAUCAAUUUUGCUAUUUUUCUUAUUCUUUUUCUUUUUUUUAUGGCAUAUUAUUCUUUACUAUCAAAUGGCAGAUUUAUGUGAAAUUUGAAAAUGUAAACUAUGCAAGUAUGUAAUCAUUAUUGAGCUCUUGUAAAAACUAAAAUUGCAUCAAAUUAUUGGAUGAAAAUAAUUCUGAUUAGUAAAUUAUCUUCUCUAUUUUAGCAUUCACUGUUCACUUAAGUGCUCCCGCAGUAUUAUGGAGGAAGAAUCAGCUUGUAGAAAAAGAAACCUUAUAAAUUGAGAGAAGACUACUUAUUAACAACAAUAGAUAGCAAACUGCAAUGAGUCAUAGCCUAAAAAUUCUAAAAAGAAAUUGAAAUUAGACCCUUAUAUAAAACAAAUCAAUCAACCUAAAAUAACAGAAAAGUAAAUAUGUUUUACUUUUAAUACUAUGAAAUUUUAAUAUUAUGAAACCUGUUAAAUGAAAAAGUUUAAGCCCAAGAAUGGUAGAUGGAAAUAAAAACAAUGCACCAAAAAGAGAGAAAAAUAUUCAAAAUAAUAUAGUAAAAUAAAAGACAAAAUUAGUAGUCCAUUUUGGUCAACCAAGAAAAUAUUUUUGUGAUAAGAAAAUAACAGUAAUUCUGUAUGUAUUUAAAUACUGUUUUUUAAUUAAAAUGCUAGACAAACUACUUAGAAUUUAUGAAGGAGUUUUUCAAAUAAAAGUUAAAUAUGUUAUCUUAUUUGGAACUAGCAUAAACAUAUGAAUAAAUUUUGACUCAUUUAAAAUAUAUACUACAAACUUAAGGCUAAUAACUAAAAUAACAGAAGUGUAAAUUAUAAAACAUUUAAUCCAGAAUAAGAAUUAAAGAAGUAAAAAGAGGAAGACUUUAGAGCAAAUGGAAAAUGCUAUUAACCCAGUAUUAAGGUAGGGCACAGAAAAUGUAUGCUAUACAUUCAUUGCUGGUGGGAAUGUAAAUUGAUACAGGUAUUUUAAUGAGUAACUUAAUAUGUCUGAUAGAAUUUAAAAUUCCCAUGCCUUUUGAUUCAGUAAUUCCUAAAUAUAUAUGCUAGAGAAACAGUUGUUCACAUAUAUAAAGAGACAUAUAAAAUAAUGGGCCUAGGAAAUAGUGAUUAUAAUUCAAUAUGAUUUAAACAAUCUAAAAUUCCAUCUAAAUGAAAUAGUUAAAAUAUUAUCACAUUCUUUCACACACACACACGGAUUUUAUUCAGCACUUUACAUAGUUUGCCCUUUCUUACUCUCUCUUAUUAUGCCUAUAUACACAGCAUAAUGGAUAUAUAUAUGUAGGCUCUCUCAUUAUCUGAAAAAAGCCACUAGUUAUAGCACAUGUAUCUUACAGUGAAUUUAAAACAAAACUCAAAUCUUAACUCAUGUAGUUUAGGAAAAUAUUUAAAUUUUGAGACAUGGUCUCAAUCCAGACGUUAGGAAUUAUGUCUGCCUAUUAUCAUGGGCCAUUAGAACAAAACUUGAUAUACGAAAAUCCUCGGUGCUGAGAUUACGUCAAUAUAUCAAUAUUGAGAUUAUGUCAAUACAUCAAUAUUUGUUCCAAUUGCUCCAUCAUAAUAGGAAGAAAUAGUGCCUAAUGACUGUAUUGAGACCGUGUGUUAAAAGUUGAAUAUUUUCCUAAACUACAUGAGUUAAGAUUUGAGUUUUGUUUUAAAUUCACUAUAAGACACAUGUGCUAUAUCUAGUGGCUUUUUUUUCAGAUAAUGAGAGAGUCUACAUAUAUAUCCAUUAUGCUAUUUAUAUAAGGAAUAUAGAAAAUAUAAACCAUAAUUUUACGUUAGGAUCAUUGUAUAUGUUUAUGUGUAAGUUAAUUUUCUGGCCAGUUUUAGAUAUUUGAAAACAGUUUCAUUUUUAAUUCAAUUUUUCUCUGAGUUCUAUCCCAAGCAGCCAUAAUGUGUAAGGCAACGGGACAACAGACAGCAUCCAGCAGGGAUUCCUAAGAAAAGACAAAGCUGAAAUGGGAGUCUGAAUGACUUUUCUAGAUCUACUUAUUUAAAACUUAGGAGAUCAUAACAUAUUAAGGUAAAGUAACUUCUAAGCUUCUUUUUGAAUCCCACAUGAGAUAUACAAAAUAACCUGCACUUUAUUAGGUUGGUGCAAACAUUAUUGAGGUUUUUGCCAUUGAAAGUAAUGACAAAAACAGCAAUUACUUUUGCACCAAUCUAAUAGAUUUUUUAAAAUUUAUUUAUCCAGAGUAUACUCUACUGAAUGUUUUUGUUUUAAGUGUAUAUAUUUUUGUGUGAAAUUGCAUCAAAAUUUAAAUGUGUUUUGUUCUGUGGUUGAUUGUUGAAAUACUUUAUAUCUCAUGUAAACGAAGAAAGCAAACAUGUAUCCAAAUGAAUAAAAGUAAUUUGACCAUUCUUCUACUAGAAAAAAAUGUAAUAUAACAUUUUUUAAAUGUUUCUAGUUCUCAUCAAGUACAAGUACAAGCGGAUUUAGUAGCAGUAUUUAUAAAUGCAGCAACCUCAACUCUGAGGUUGUUUCAACUUCUUGCCUUAGAGCAGACAAAAAGAAAAAGGGACAGAGAUAGAGAAAAUAAGAUUCUGUUGGCAUUAUCAAGAAGGAGGAAGGGAAAGUAGAAGGAUAAAAAAGUUCGACACAGGUGGAGUCUUUCCUAACCUCUCACCCUCACUUUUAUUUUUGCUACUUUUUUUUCCUUUCAUUUUGUGUGUAAAAGUUUAAGGCAGCAUCCAUGUUUCCAAGAAACUUUUCCUCACACUUUUCAUCAACCAUCGUUAUUUUAGAUCAAAGUGAAAUUCUAUUAAGCCCCAGACAAACUAUUUGAAUCGGGUAUAAAGUCAAGGCCUUCCCACUAAUGUCUUCUACUCCUAUCCAUACUUUACUGUAAAACACAAAUCUAAUUCUGUUGUCAUCCUCCUUAAAAAUCUUCUACUUCUUAUUGUUUACAAAUGAAAUAAAAACCUCAGGGCAUGUUAUUCCAAUUUCUUUACAGUCUGUCUCUUUUUAACUUUCCCUGCUUCAGCCCUGGUGUUUCCUAUGUACCCUAACUAUAUAUUUUCUGUAUUUCUUCUACUUGCAGAGGAAUCUACUAUCGUGGAGUGUGUGUGUGUGUGCCCGUGUGUGUGUAUAUACAUAUAUAUGCAUAUAUAUAUGAGUGUGUGUAUGUAUAUAUGUAUGCAUAUUUACACAUUUUUAUUGUCCAUUAUUCUCUGAGCAACUUAAGGCAGUGCCUUCUGAACAUUGCCCAGAAUUGGCAAAGUGUAGGGGAACUUAAAUAUUUGUUAAAGGAUUACUUUUAAAUGAUUAUGAAUGAGUGAAUGGAUGAAUAAAUGACACCCACCACUUCAUAUAUUCAGGCCUACAGAGACCAUAUUUUUCAUUAUUUUCUAAAAAUAUUCUUUAAAAUAUAAUGAUAGAUCUUAUCAAUGCCAUUAUCUCAUAAAUUGGUAAAACUAUGUACAAAGCAAUAUGACAUACUCAAGAAUAGCCAUAAAAUUAUGCAAACUUUCUGGCCCAAAAGUGUGACUGCUAGAAUUUAUUACAAUACUCCUCUUAAACUAUAAAAAAGUAGGGAGAAAUGGAUACUGAAAUAUUAGACACUUAGGUUAACCACAAACAUUAGAAAGAUUUUCUUCUCUAAGAGAUAUAGGAAAAUCCUAGGUGCUGAGAUUAUGUCAAUACAUCAAUAUUUAGAAUUCAGAGAAAAAUUGAAUUAAAAAUGAAAUGUUUUCAUCUAUCUAAAACUGGCUAGCAAAAUAAACUUAAGCAUAUACAAUGAUCCUACUGUAAAAUUAUGGUUUACAUUUCCUAUAUUCCUGAGCAAUACUGAUGAUGAAAGUUUAUUUUAAAAAAUUCUGAAAAAUAUGAACCACACAGAAGUAAUCACUAAAAUGCAUUUGUGUCUAUUUAUUGUCUAUUGCAACACUCAGCUCUGCCUUCAUAGCCUGAUAUCAGCCAAAAGAAGGUUUUUGUUUGUUUGUUUUUUGAGACAGGGUCUAGCUCUGUCACCCAGGCUGGAAUGCAGUGGUGCGACCUUGGCUCACUGCAACCUCCGUCUCCUUGGUUCAAGCGACUUUGGUGCCUCAGACUCCCAGCAGCUGGAAUCACAGGCCUGCACCACCAUUCCCAGCAGUUUUUUUGUUUUGUUUUGUUGAUAUUUUCAGUAGUGAUGGGGUUUCCCCAUGUUGGCCAAGCUGGUCUGAAACUCCUGAGCUCAGGUGAUCUGCCCGCCUUGGCCUCCCAAAGUGCUGGGAUUACAGGUGUUAGCCACCACAGCCAGCCAAGUAUUGGUUUAAAUGUAGCUGUGUUUCAAUAAAACUUUAUUUACAGAGGAAUUUUUUCUUUUACCUUAGAGAAGAUUUAUUUUUCUAUACAUUUGAAAAGAAUUUUUUUAAGCAAAGUGCCCCAGGCAAAUAACCGUUCUCAUCUUGAAGAGGGAGCCAAGAGGCUUCCUCAGAAAUUCUUUGGGCAAGUGGGGUCAGCUGGUUUCCAAGGCCCUUAGGGCAGCCUGAUUCUCUGUCAGUGUUCAUAAAACUUCCUAGAACAUUAGCUCCUUAAAGGACCUCCAAUACCGAAACUAUCUCAUUUAACAGACGGAAAAAGUGAUGCUCACGCCAGAGAAGAGUCAGCCCAAGGUCAUCUAGGAUCAGUGGCACACCUAGGAUUCAGGCCCAAGGACCCCCAGCUGACCUGCCUUCCCUGGAACCUCACUGUGAGUUCUUUAACCAUGGCUGUGUUUUCAAAGUUGAACUGGGGCUGCUGUUGAUACCACCUUUAAAUGCCUGCUUUUGUCAUGGAGACCAUGAGAACUUCACUCUUCAGCUGGCAAUUUACCUGGCUGCACAGUGCUCAGGCACACACAGGCUUCAGGGCUACAAGGUAAAGGAUUUGCCAAGGCCAAGUGCUGAAACCCACUUCUUGUUUUGAAGCAAAUGAGAACUUCCACCUGUAUUUGACCUGGGUAUGUAUAUUAAUUAGUUUGGCAACUGAGAUUUUUUUCUUGAUGAUCAAAAGUCCUAACUGGCAGUUAAAUAUGUCUUUUUUUUUUUUUUUUUUGAGACAGAGUUUCCCUCUUGUCACUCAGACUGGAGUGCAAUGGCACAAUCGAGGCUCACUGCAACCUCUUUCUCCCCAGUUCAAGCAAUUCUCCUGUUUCAGCCUCCCAAGUAGCUGGGAUCACAGGUGUCUGCCACCACACCUGGCUAAUUUUGUAUUUUUUAGUAGAGACAGGUUUUCACCAUGUUGGCUAGAUUGGUCCUGAACUCCUGACCUCAGGUAAUCCACCCGCCUCGGCCUCCCAAAGUUCUGGGAUUACAGGUGUGAGCCGCUGCCCCUGGUCAAAUAUGUCUUUUUAAAAAAAUAAUAAUAAUGACUUUUAAAUACAAGUGACCUGAGUAUGCAAAGUAUUUCUAGACUCAGGGUUCUUAAAGUGAGGAAAAAUUAGCAAAAGCAUUAUUUGACAGCCCCUAGAAUAGGCCAAAUAUGAAAUAACUAACAAAUUGCAGAUAGUAGUGUGCUCUACAAAGAAAAAGAGAGCAAGACAAUGGAUUACAGAAAAGAUGAAGUUUAUUUUAGAUGGAGUAUUAAGUGACAGAUUCUAUGAGGAGGUGAAAAUUGACCAGACAACUGAAAGAAGUAAAACAGCCAUACUAGUAUCUCAGGAAAAAUUAUCGCAGGAAAAAAAGAGGAAAAAUAAAAUGACUCUAUGUCGGAGGGAGUUUGGGCUGGCAUGGUGGCUCAUGCCUUUAAUCCCAGCACUUUGGGAGGGCGAGGUGGGUGGAUCACUUGAGGUCAGGAGUUCGAGACCAGCCUGCUGAACAUAGUGAAACCCGUCUCUACUAAAAAUACAAAAAUUAGCCUGGUGUGGUGGUGGGUGCCUGCAAUCUCAGCUACUCAGGAGGCUGAAGCAGGAGAAUUGCUGGAACCUGGGAGGUGGAGGUUGCAGUGAGCCUAGAUCAUGCCACUGCACUCCAGCCUGGGUGACAGAGUGAGACUCCACAAAAAAAAAAAAAAAAGGGGGGGGUGGGUGGGGAGGAGGGUUUGGCAUGUUUAAUGGAAAAGGUCUGUGUGUGACCAGAAUAGAUGGAAUGCAGAGAAGCAAAAUAUAGAUUUUAAUUUCCAUGGUUCUUUACUGAAGAGUGUUUCUUAUUUAAGUAACAACGCUAUGAUUAAAUUGAUUGUGAAAGAAUUACAAAUCUAGAAUUUAUUGCAUGAUCAGAUAGGAGAACAGAUUUGAUUUGCUAACUCUGUAUAAUAUACUACAGUGUAAGCCACCCUCUAUUACUUUAGCAAAAGAUGUUUUUUUCAUUUUCCUGCAAGUAUAUUUUUUCUCUAAAACCUUAAUUAGCAUUUUUUAAUAUUGCUGAAAGAUGGGGAUAUAAGUUCCAUUUAUUUCUUGAAACUGAAUAUAAUUAUCAAAUAUUGAAAAAUAAUAAUGGGCAUCAUUAUAAUUACUGUUAAGUAGUUUUCCUGUGUAGAGAGAAUUAUAAAAAUAUCCUUCAUUAUCUUUCAUGGAUAAAUGAUGUUUUUCUCAUGAGCCAGAGAAAAAUUAUCACAAUGUCUGCCCAGGUGUUUCUGUUAUGCUUACAGAAGUGAGUAGUGCUAUUUGCAGACACUGUACUUUCUCUCUUUUUCAUAUGAGUACAUUAAUCAAUUGUGGAGUUGUGGCAUCUGCUGUAAAACAAUUUGUUUUUCCAUUAUUUGAUGGCUACACUUUUUCUUUUAGUUUUUUUCUCUUCUUAUUGAAUCACAUUUUCUUUCCUCUUCUUUUAAAAAUAUUGCUGUAUUGAUUUACAAAAAAUAUAUAUUUUAUUGCCUCAUUUUAAUUUUUGGUAAUCCAUGUACUGCUUUAUUAAGGCCUAUAUAACUCAUAAUCCAACUCAUCGAUUAAAAGUUCAGGAAACCAAAGAGAUGGCUUUUUCUCCAAUUGAAGAUAUCAUAAUGAUAAUUUUGGGGGCUGGUGAAAACUGAGAUUGUCAGAAGGCUAAUUUUUUCUUAGAUGUCAUUUUUGUUGGUCACAAACUAGAGAUGAAGCUCUCUACAGGCAAGUAUAGAACCAUCUCUCUGUGCAACAAUUUGUAUUUUCAGACCACUUUUAGUCUUUGGGGGUAGAUACAAUUACUUAGAAAAAUCUUCAAUGUCUCUUUGGAAAACAGUUGAUCUCGAACUCAGUUCUAAAGCUGAGUCAGCAUCACAGGAUUUCAGAUUCUUGAAUGUUAUUUUUGUUGUCUUUCUCUUACUAAAUUGUUAUCACUGAAUAUUUCUCCUUUGUUUUACUCCAUUUGGACUGCUAUAACAAAAUACCAUAGACUGAGUAGCUUAUAAUACAGAAUUCACAUCUCACAGUUCUGAGGCUGGGAAGUUCAGCAUCAAGGUGCCAGCAGGUUCAGUGUCUUGUGAGGGCCUGUUUUCGGUUUCAUGGAGGGCCCCUUCUCACUGCAUCUUUACGUGGUACAAGUGGCAAGUCAGCUCUCUGGGGCCUCUUUUAUAAGAACACUUAUAGGAAUAUUGAAUUAGUGAACGAGCUCUGUUCUCGUGAAUUAAUCAUCUCCCAAAAGGCCCUAUCUCCUAACCCAUUUAUGCUGGAGGUUGCAAUUUUUGUGUGUGAAAAAUCAGACCUUGGCAAUGACCUUGAGCAGUAGGAUAUAAAUAACUCCCACAAGCUUAGCAUUCCAAUAAGGGAACACUAGGCAUAAAUGGGCUUAAUACCCUCAUCUUAGGGGAAAGGAUUUCAAUAUGUGAAUUUUGUGAAACACAAACAUUCAGACGGCAGCAUCUUUGCUUUCUUAAAAAGUUAAAUGAAACAAGUUCCCAAAUUUAAACAAGCAGAAAUAUGUAUACAGAUAAGGGUAGAGGAAUAGUUUAAAAUUAUUUUAAUUAGAUAUUUGAAGUCCUCAGUACGCUACAUUUAUAAAAAAGAAAUGGUAUAUGUGACAGGGAGCAAAAUAAAACCCUGUGUCAUAAAAAGAAUCCACUAUCAAUUAUUUAAAAAGAUCUUAGCAAGGAAAUAUCAGCUUCGAUAUUACAAACUUUUCAGAUGUGAAAAAUGAUUUAUUUUCAAAUAUAGUUCAAAUGAAGUUUUGCCUUAACAAAAUGGCUUUUCUAAAGGCCACCUUUAGAUCAAAAUACUUAAUCUAACUUGUGCCACUUCUUGGUAACCCUUGGUAACCCCUAAAUUGUUUUCUCUAUUUUCUCCAACUACUCUACUAAAAAGUUUCUUCCUAUUUCUCCACAUGGCUUCAAAAAAGGGAACAUAAAAGAGAAAUACCAGUCAGUGAUAAUCAUGUGGAAAAAAAUAAUAAUGUGAAGCAAUUUUUGUUUGUUUGUUUGUUUGUUUGUUUUCUCUCGAGGUCAUGAUCUGGUACUUUUUUACAGCAAACUCAUACUUAACAAAUUUUAAAGAUUUUUUAAAGAAUGAACUAAUGAAUUGGGUUAGGUAAGUUUAUCUUAACCAUUCUUAUGUCCUUUAAUUUUCUGCACUUUGCUAGUAUUUUACUUUUAGAAUCCGUAGUCAGCUUGAAUCAUAUUAAUUUUCUGACAACUGAAUAAAAAAUAUUUCAAUAUUUCAUGCAUCUUGUUUAUUUGUUUGUUUUGGUAGUUUUUUUUAAGAAAGUGAAAGUAGUUUAAUUUAGAGAGAAGCCAUGGAAACCGGGAAACAAAAAUGAGAUUGUGAUUGGGAAGGAAGGGAUCGUCAUCAAUAAAAUUGCUUUACUAAGCAAGUUAUUGCUGGAGGUGACAAAACUUUGAUCCCACUAGAGCCUUUAAAAGCCAGUAUCGAACACACUGUUCAGUAAUGCCACUCAAAUGAGCAGUGCAUUUAUUUAUUCAUUCUUUAUCAGUCAUUUGGUUGGUAGUAUGUUAUUAAUUCCACAGUAAUUCUGACUUGCCACUUGCAUGGACAAAUUGGGUUCCAGCUGCCAGAAAAAUCCUUCAGGCAAAGGAUGCAGCUGCCACCAGUUGGAAUUCUAGGGGAUACUUGGUCUUUAUAAUUUCUGAGUACAUAAGCAUCUACUAUAUGUGCUUAAUACAAAUGAAUGCCAUUUUAAUGUACCUUAAAAUUUCUAAGCAAAUACAUGAAAAGCAAUGUCUAAUUUCUUGCUUAUUUUCAAGGUAUACAGAUAACUCUGUUAUAUUCAGAAAGAGCAGGGACCUGAAAAAAAAAAUCUGUGUUAAAGUCUCAUAUGAACUAAAAAGAAAAAGUAAUUUAUUCUUCUGCUACUUCUCUUUUCAGUAAGGGUGGUUGCCUUGUCUUGCUCAUUGCAAGAAUGAAAGCUGUAUAAGUUGAAUGAAAAUAUAAAUAUGACUUUGAAGGUGGGUAAGUCUUACCUUCCCUUCUAGCAGUCUCUGAAGUUGCUUGAACAAUGGCUUAUUUUAUUAUUAGUUGGGACUCUUUGGUUGCAAGUAAUGGAAGUAUACUUGAACUAGAUUAGCAAAAAUGUAAGGCUUGUUAUAACAUUGCACAAGCACAGAACUCGCUGCUGGCUGGUAAGAUAUAGGACUACUGCAUUAUGGGGAUUUUUGAAUUCUAAUCUACUAGAGGGACCAUUGUUUUAAAAGUUCUUUAGAAGUUAUUCUUGGAACUACUAUUUAUACACGAAAGAAUGUGGAUGGAUCUCAAAAGCAUUAUGGCAAAAGACAGAAACAAAAGGCUACAUAUUGUUUCAUUCCAUUCACCUAACAUUUUAAAAAGCACAAAACUAUAGCAGUAAAAAUGAAUCAGUGGUCCCCAGAGACUAGGGGUAAAGGAGCAACUAUAAAAAGGAGACUUUUGGGAUAAUGGAACUAUUUUAAAUAUUGACUAUGGUUGUGGUCACAAGACUGCAAAACUGUAUACAGUUAUUAAUAUUUAUAGAACAAUACACUUCAAAAUGGGGGAUUUUAUUGAAUGCAAAUUAUACCUCAAUAAACCUGAUUGCUUUUUAAAAUAUAUAUAUAUAUAUAAAUAUGAAAUAGAUUAUUUUUAGUAAGUGACUAGAAAAAGGGCAAGCAAAAUAAUCGGUAACUUAGUAGGCAGCAAAUUAUUGUUCAUUUAUUUAACUCAGGUUUUAGAAAGUCCAUUGUGAAGCUAGUAAAAGAUUGUGAUUUGAAUUAUUUCUCAAAUUAUAGAUGAUUUUUAAUGAAGACAACAGAUAUACCUAAUAAAUUAUUUUUAAUUGAUCCAUGGAUACUAUCUUAUCUUUAUUCACACUUAGAUAUAAGAAAACACUAAAGAUAGACUUAGCAUGUUUCUAAAAUUAAUUUCUCUAAUUUGCAACACAGCACAUAAUAGUCAUGAUAAUUAAGCCAACUGAUAUCAUAAUUUAUGAUUACUUCUUGUCAGAAACUGUGAUAUUAUUUCCAUUGAGUAGGAAGUGGGGAGUGGGGCAAUUAAACUUAGUGCUAGAAUUAUUCUCCUUUUAAGCAUAAUUCAUCAAAAUCAAGAGUGAGCUUCAAAAUGACCAGUAAUAAAAGUAGGAAGAGAGAUGAUUUUCUAUAAAGUGCAAUUUAUGGAUUCUGGAUUCACAGAGAAAAUAAACACAUAGUGAAUUAGGUAAAAAUAAAAGAGGUAAAAUAUCCUGCAUGUAUUCUAUUAACAAGAUCAAAAGAAAACAAAAUUUACAUUACCGUAGAGAUCUUUAUAGCACCCCGUUUGUUAAAUUGAUAUUGUUGUGUUAAAAAAUUGACACAGACAUAUUAAUGGCUACAAAGAAAGAAAUAAAGAACUCCUUCUCACUUUUAAAUAGAUUCUGGAUUCUAGAGGAUAGUCCACACUUUCUUGUGCAAUUGUUUAAAUGUUGAAAUUGCUGACAUUAAGUGUGUAUGCAUUUACAUGUUGAAAUGCCACACAAAGGGUUUAUUAAUUUACUCUUUUUAUAAGCAAUGUAAGUCCUUGGUCUCUACAGUCUUAUCAAUAUCAAGUAUUUUGUACAUUACUGAUUUUGCCAAUUUAGUAUAUGAAGAAAAAGCCCACAAUAUAAUCUUUAUUUUGUUCAGUGGUAAGCAAAGUUAAACAUAUGUUUUUUAAAAGUCCCAUUUUGCGUCUUGAUUUCAAAUCAUCUGGUCAUAUUCCCAAAUAUUUAUAUGUUGCAUUCUUUGAUUUUUAUUCAUUUAUGGAAAAGUUUCGGGGAUAAAGAAGGAUUAGUAUUUUCUGUGUUCCACAUGGCUGUUCUAGACCAUUGAAACUCCUGUCCACAUAGUGUCUUAUUUUUUUUAAUAGUUUCACAUAGAAAGUAUGUUAAUAUACAUGAUCUUUUAAUUAUUUCCACAUAAAAGGUAUUUAGAAUUUAUCAUUAUUAUCAUCAUUUCAACUUUAGACUUAAAUAAACUGAACCUCAAAGUGGUCAAUGACUUGACCGAGUCCCAAGUAGAAAUGAAGCUGAUUUUCUGGCUUCUUUCGUAUUUUUUCAAACUACAUAUAUUCAUUACAUUUAUUUUACUAACAAAGUAUUGCUUUAUCCUUUCUUAUGAACCAGCAUUUUUAUUGUUUUUUUAAUUAAAUUUAUUCUUAUUAAUAAAAAAACAAGUCAAUUCCUUGGAAAUUUUUGCCGAAACCUGUUUUACAUUUCAAUAUCUCCAUAAUUGGCCAUAGGCUUUAAUGACAUUGAACUCCUUCUUUCUCUGUUGCUUCAGGCUUGUCCAUAGAAGUAAAUAUUCGCAUGAUUUUAACUUUCCAAACUGGCCCGAAAUAAUUUGUCUUAACUAUUGUCAAAUUAUUACCCACUUUGUAAAGCUGUGUUCAGUUUCUUCUCCUCAAUGAAAACGUUCAUGGUCAUAUAAAAAUAUGAUUACAAUUUUUCUCACUCUCUGAGUUACCUUGUAUUUUAUAAUAUUUUCAUGUAAGAAAAUGAGCUGUCCAUUUUAAAUGUCCAUCAUAAUUCUUCAAAUAAUGUUUAUAAAAUUAUACUCACUGGCUAGUAAUAUGCAGUUUGGCAACAGAAUGAGACUAUAUACAAAUUAAUAAAGUCAGUUGUUGGUCACAGUUAACAAUAAUUUUUCAUAAGCUUGGAGUUGAGGAAAUUCAAAGGCACUCAGUAUUUUUUUAAAUUAAGAAUUGCAAGAAGAAAGAGACAGAAAAUGAGUAUGUUAUUCAAAAUGAAAAGAUCAAUGCAAUCAUCCAAACCCAGUUAAGACUGUGUAACAGUGCAAAACAAGGUGUUUCUAAUAUUUCUAGAAUAUCACUGUCUUUCCCUUAUAGUAGGCUCAAGAUUUCUUUAAAUGACGUAGGGAAAGUAACUUUCCAUCGGCAAGACAGAAAAUAGCUAUUGGGAGAUUAGGGUAGGAGACGGAAGGAAAGCAAAGGGAAGGGAAGGGGAGGGGAGGGGAGGGAAGGGGAGGGGAAGGAGAAUGGCAGGAAAGAACAAGAAAAGGAGGGAGAAAGAACUAAGAAAGGAAGAGAGGAAGGGAGGGGAGGAGAGAGAGAGGAAAAGAGGAUGAAAAAUGAGAGGUGGAAUAACAGCUAGACAGGAAAGGAGAAUGAGAAAAGUAAGACGCAAACAGGGAGAGCAAAAAUUAAAGUAACCUAGAUGUGGCAGUCAAGAGAUUGUGAAAGAUGUGUAUACAAAAGAGGGGCCAUACCACAGCAGUAACUUGACCACAGCAGUAACUCAAUGCAUGAUUUGUGUUCCUGUAUCUUUUAAUGGCACAAGUCCUGGGACCUUUGAUGAGGCUCUGUCUAAUCAUAGAAGGACUCUGCCACCAGAAUAACCUAGUUUGCAUAAACUUUCCUCGUGUUUUCUUUCACUCCGCUAUCCAGACUGUAGGGUGUGCCUUACAUUAUUUAGCUGAAUUGUCAACAGGUGUACUGAGUAAACUGUUUGAUUUAUAAAUAUCUCUGUAUCUAAUCAUGUAUCAAUUUCUCAAAUUAUGGUGUUUCACAUAUUGGUUUCUCUAAAGAUUAUUUCAUUUCACAAUUUGAGGCAGUUUUGUGAAAAGAAACAUAUACAUAUAUUUUAAUUUCUGCCUGAAAUAUACAACAUUGAAUUUCAUUCAAAUAUUUAAUGCCUUCACAAAUAAAACGUAGCUAGUGUUUCAUGUUGCUGUUUAGAAGUUUAUUGAAAUAUGGCAGAUAAAAUGCUAUAGAGAUAUUAUUAUGUUUAAUAAUUCAGUAGUUGCUUCAAAUAUGCUAUAAAGUGUUGGAAUAUGGCCAGUUAACUUUAAAAUAUAGAAUAAUAAAAUAAUUGGAUUUAAAAUUGCUUCAUAUUAUUUUUGUUUAAUAAAAAGACAAUCCAUGUCUUAGGUGUACCCUUUUAAAUCCUAUCUACUUUCUGAUUCUUAGGAUUCUUAAAAAGAAUAUUGUAAUGACUGAACAGAAAUAUUAUAUCUGAUUUUGUACUAGAAAAUUGAAGCAGCAUGGGAUCAUGGCUAAGUAAGAGCUUUAUAGCAGUAGCAAAUAGUUACAUGAUUACUGAAGUAUAGCUGUCACUGGAAAUAGAAAGCUGCAAGGAACCUAUCAUAAAAGUAGCAAUUUCAGUUUCACUAGUGUUUAAAAUUAAAGCCUAGUAAUUCAUUGUGGAUGUAUUUCCUCAAUGGUUUCAGGAAAGUAUCCUGCUUUCACUGAGCAUUUUCACUUUGUUCCUUAUGUGUUUCCUUUCAUAAUGAAAAAGUUGUAAUUUCAGAUUGGUAAAACAAUUGUUAGGACUUUGUGAACAAACACUCAAAAAGUUUUGUGUCAUGAAAUAAUGAUUAGUCAAUUGUAUUUAUUGUUAUAACACACUAUGUUAAAAAUUCACUGCCAGAUGAUCCACAUUAUGUUAGGUAAACCAAUUUAAUCAACAGUUUCCUCUUUUGACAUAUAAUUAGCUGAUGGAUGAAUUUAGAGGUGUAAAAAACCUUCAAAUAAAAGCGUUUAUGGAAAAAAAUAAUGGCUGUUUAUGGAGUUUUGCAUACAUGUGUUACUGUCUUAAGAAGCUGAAAUGAGAUUUAAGAAAUUGAACAAUAUUUAAAGAAAAAGAUAACUUUUUUUUUUUUUUUUUUUUUUUUUUACAAUUUGGUUUACCGUGAAAAGCAUUUGGACAGAUGUAUCUAUUGACAUGUAAUAUUGCUGAGGGACAUUGACAAACGUAGUCUCUAAAAAAUUUAGGGGAGUUUAUAAAAAUAACCACAGUUUGAGAUAAAUUAAAGUAAACAUAGAAGAUACUGAACACAAACAGUAAUAAAUAAUUAUAUUGAAAAGGUUUCGGAGAAAAGAUAAUCAGUUUGGUAAUGAAUAACAUUUUUCUCAUAUAAUAUUUUAAGUACUAGAGGAAUAUGGUUCAAUGAUAACUUGUAUGUAAGGCACUUUUCUUGACAAUACUGAAUACAAA
rnacentral:lncRNA from 1 species